GAUGAACGCUAGCGGCAGGCCUAACACAUGCAAGUCGAGGGGUAGAACACUUCGGUGUUUGAGACCGGCGCACGGGUGCGUAACGCGUAUGCAAUCUACCUUAUACAGGGGAAUAGCCCACAGAAAUUUGGAUUAAUUCCACAUAGAAUUACGACUUGGCAUCAAGAUGAAAUUAAAGUUCCAACGGUAUAAGAUGAGCAUGCGUCCAAUUAGUUAGUUGGUAAGGUAACGGCUUACCAAGACCAUGAUGGGUAGGGGUCCCGAGAGGGAGAUCCCCGACACUGGUACUGAGACACGGACCAGACUCCUACGGGAGGCAGCAGUGAGGAGUAUUGGUCAAUGGUCGCAAGACUGAACCAGCCAUGCCGCGUGCAGGAAGACGGUCCUAUGGAUUGUAAACUGCUUUUAUACAGGGAGAAACCCUCCCACGUGUGGGAGCUUGACGGUACUGUAGGAAUAAGGAUCGGCUAACUCCGUGCCAGCCGCCGCCGUAA
rnacentral:rRNA from 1 species